rfam:Equus caballus chromosome 6, whole genome shotgun sequence.
UAUUUUACUGUUCAAAGGAAUCAAUUAAUUACUGCCU